GGGUAGAUAGCUCAGUUGGUAGAGCACAGGACUGAAAAUCCUGGUGUCGGGGGUUCGAUUCCCCCUCUGCCCA
rnacentral:tRNA from 1 species